AGGAAGGAAGGAAGGAAGGAAAGAAGGAAGGAAAUAAUCGGUGGGCGAUCGUUGAAACCGGAUCGUUGUGGACCGGCGCCGAGCCCGGGACGGCCCGACGAGAAUGACAUUCCGCCACGACGAAGCAGCACUAGUGGCCGUGUGUAGGGGACUUUUUCGCGAACUUGUGAACUUGCGCGGCAUGACGGGUGAUAGGUGUGCUUUCGCGAUAACGCAUCUACUUUCUUCGAACUGUGAUUACUUUCUGGAUAAUGUGUGGUGAUUGUGCCUUAGAAAUACGAAAAGCGUAACUGCCGUUUAGCCGAGAUCGCUGUGGAAAAGG